CUACAAACGGCCAAGGAGGUUUUCCCAGGGUGAGGCUCAUCCAUUGCACUGCGGGGGUGCUGACCCCUGCGAUUUCCCCAAAUGCGGGAAACUCGACUGCAUAAUUUGUGGUAGUGGGGGACUGCGUUCGCGCUCUCCCCUG
rnacentral:snRNA from 1 species